GCUUGCUUUUCUUGAGAGCGGCAGACGGGUGAGUAAUGCCUACGAAUCUGCCUGGUAGUGGGGGAUGACGUUCGGAAACGGACGCUAAUACCGCAUACGUCCUACGGGAGAAAGCAGGGGACCUUCAGGCCUUGCGCUAUCAGAUGAGCCUGGGUCGGAUUAGCUAGUUGGUGAGGUAAUGGCUCACCAAGGCGACGAUCCGUAGCUGGUCUGAGAGGAUGAUCACUCACACUGGCACUGAGACACGGUCCAGACUCAUACGGGAGGCAGCAGUGGGGAAUAUUGGACAAUGGGCGAGAAGCCUGAUCCAGCCAUGCCGCGUGUGUGAAGAAGGUCUUCGGAUUGGAAAGCACUUUUAGUUGGGAGGAAGGGUUGUGCAUUAAUGCUCAGCUGUUUGUGACUUUA
rnacentral:rRNA from 1 species